GCUAGAUUGCGAUCCGAAUAUGGCCAACUGAGUUAAUCUCAGAGAAAUUGAAAUCUGUGCGCCUGAGGAGGAAGAAAUUGUGUGUCUUCGGCUGCGAUUGUAACCAUAGACUCCUGGAACUAACGCUGGAAUCCGACAACACACUAACGAGGCCUUAAACUCAGUUGAACACAGUGGGACUUACUUCGGAGUCAAGGUGCACAGGGUUUGCUAUGAGUGUACUACCCGGUUUGCCACUUCAUCAAGAGUUAUCUAUUGAGGUCUUUUAAGAUUCCCCCGUGAAUGGCUCCAGUGUCUUAUCAUCACUUUCUGGACUCGGAGGUGAACGGACUUGGGCGGGCUGUUUGCGACAACCGACAUAACGGAAGAGAGGGAGCUUCGUCAGUGACAUAGGGCUGCGCUACAAUUAAACCAGGUGAAGAAUUCAAAUCGAGUCUGUUGUCGCCUGUUCCUUUUCUUCGCUGGAACAAGACACCCAACUGUUCUGAUAUUGCCAUUCAAAAACAAGGUUCUGUGGCAAACCUCAUUUGUGAAUCUAUUACAGAGAUUAAUAGAUUAUUUCUUCUUUUUCAGCUAAUUCUCAAUGGGGAAAUUUAACCAUAUGGUAAGGAGAGAAUUAGAAUUUCAUCACAUUAGAGCAAAAUGUAAUGAAAAGAGUCCAACACCUGGGGCCAACUGUGAAAGACACAAUUAAAAGGUUUUUAAUGAAACCAGAGAAACCCAAAAUUUCAUAGCCUUCAGUUAUUCUGUCACAUAAGAAUGAUUUAAUAGAAGUGUUGGGAAAUAUUAUUUAGUGAUAUCAUAAGAGUGGGGAAAGAACAUAUAAACAUAUAUGCCCUGAGCUUUUAGAAAGCGA